rnacentral:rRNA from 1 species
UACGUAGGGGUCGAGCGUUGUCCGGAGUUACUGGGCGUAAAGCGCGCGCAGGUGGCUCAUUACGCCCGGCGUGAAAGCCCCCGGCUCAACCGGGGAAGGUCGUCGGGUACGGGUGAGCUUGAGGGUAUCAGGGGCUGGUGGAAUUCCCGGUGUAGUGGUGAAAUGCGUAGAGAUCGGGAGGAACACCCGUGGCGAAGGCGGCCAGCUGGGAUACAACUGACACUGAGGCGCGAAAGCGUGGGGAGCGAACGGG